AUAAACGGCCGACGUAGGUCAAAGAGUACUAUCGGUUCUUAUCGGCUUAAUAUCUGAUAGCGGUUCUAUAUGGGACGGACCAAGAUAUUAAAUUUAUUUUUGCAAGUUGUCGGAGUGCUUCAAGCCUGCGUCAACUCCUCCGUGGGUCGGCGGGUCACGGCAAGAUGCACGGAACCCUACCCAU